rnacentral:rRNA from 1 species
AAUGAACGCUGGCGGCAGGCCUAACACAUGCAAGUCGAACGGAUCCUUCGGGAUUAGUGGCGGACGGGUGAGUAACGCGUGGGAACAUACCCAAAGGUACGGAAUAGCCUCGGGAAACUGGGAGUAAUACCGUAUGUGCUCGAAAGAGGAAAGAUUUAUCGCCUUUGGAUUGGCCCGCGUUGGAUUAGGUAGUUGGUGGGGUAAUGGCCUACCAAGCCGACGAUCCAUAGCUGGUUUGGGAGGAUGAUCAGCCACACUGGGACUGAGACACGGGCCAGACUCCUACGGGAGGCAGCAGUGGGGAAUCUUAGACAAUGGGGGAAACCCUGAUCUAGCCAUGCCGCGUGAUCGAUGAAGGCCUUAGGGUUGUAAAGAUCUUUCAGGUGGGAAGAUAAUGACUGUACCACCAGAAGAAGCCCCGGCUAACUCCGUGCCAGCAGCCGCCGUAA